rnacentral:rRNA from 1 species
UACGGGGGGAGCAAGCGUUGUUCGGAUUUACUGGGCGUAAAGGGCGCGUAGGCGGCGCAACAAGUCACUUGUGAAAUCUCCGGGCUUAACCCGGAGCGGCCAAGUGAUACUGUCGUGCUAGAGUGCGGAAGGGGCUACUGGAAUUCUCGGUGUAGCGGUGAAAUGCGUAGAUAUCGAGAGGAACACCUGCGGCGAAGGCGGGUAGCUGGGCCGACACUGACGCUGAGGCGCGAAAGCGUGGGGAGCGAACAGG